UCUAGAGUGAUGGUUUGUAGUGCAACACCAUCAGUUAGUCAUCUGCCUCAUCCCGUACGAUAAUCCAGUACCAUAGCUCAGUCACCUAGACUGAUUUGUCCGCUCAUAUUUCUAAUGCCGCAUUAAUGCGUCUAUGAUUAGUGGUUGGCAUUCAUUGUAGUUUUUUUCGUGGCGCUCUAUGGGUUUUUAUUUCUCGUAUGUCUAUUAAUUUAUACUUCUUGAUAGCAACUUAGCCAUAUUCCUACAGUACAAUGCAAGAUGCAGCAGCCAGAAGAUAUACGGAUAUUACUAGGAGUAAUUGCAGCUAUCCAUUUUGUACCAGUAUAGUUGUUCAGUCAAGUAGGAAAAGUUAGAUGCAUGUACAUGUAUGAAACUGUCUACACAGUAUGCAAGUUUGCAGCAAUUUUUUCGUCAAAAAACCUAAUCACUAUUGAAAAAGUAGCUUCUAUUUUGAUAGUAAUCUCUUAGUUUAAAUACUGAACCAUCUCACCUGACAAAGUUUAUCUAUUAGUUAAAUAGAUUGGCAAUGCAAAGCGCACAAAUUUCUCAGUAUUUUAGAUUAUCUUAAGAGAAUUCGUAUUUAGAGAACCAUUUGGUCUGGAGACCUUUGUGUGAGUAAUGAUGUUUUGAUGACUUCUCCAUUCUAACCAUGGUAUUGGCUUAUGGAGAUCACAGUUUAUCUAUGGAGCAACAUUAAUGUCAGUAUACUUACAUUUGAAAUAUUGGUUUGUGGUCCUCAAAAUUACCAAUACAUAUGUUGUAUCUUCAGGUUACAGAAACUGAUUGUUCCAGGCAGUGACGACUGCUUGUGUUUUACUACAUUUAAGUGUAGUCUGUGUAUGUGUAAUUUAAAAUAUAGUUUUCAAAUCACAACUGGUGAAUCCUACCAACACUGGUUCCAUGCAAAAUUCUCGGCACUAAAACCUAGAACACCACAGGCGCCAAGUAGGAAUUUCUGCUAGGUAAUUUGUAAUUGUAGUUCUAUCACCAGUGCAAAAUCUGACCAGUUGAUAAGACCACAAAAAAGUUCAAAAUUAUUGGUCAUGCAGUCGGAUUAAUUAUUGCAUAGCCUUCAACUUUUGUUUGUUGUCUUCUAAAUUUUUCUGCUCUAUUGACAUUUUUUCUACCAGAAGUUACUGAUCUCAUUCGUUUAUUUUUGUAGGUUCCUAAGAUAUUUUGAUGAUGGAUGGCUCAGAUGCAGAUUGCAAGGUUGGGAAUGGCAUUCCUACUAGAUAGUGUUAUGUUAUAUUUUAGGACAUCAUUUCCGGUGUCAAUGUUUCAAACAUUAUGUAUUAGAAUAGUUGAGAUGUUGAAUCAAACGUCCAGGAUUGGCUAUUACUUGUUAGUACCAAAACAUGUAAUCCUUGGAGUCAUGUUCUUUGUAAUGCAACAAAGUAAAUUUAAUAUAUUACACCUUUCUCUA
rnacentral:lncRNA from 1 species